UUGCGUAGUUCCUUUUUUAGUCCUAGCAGGCGCCGCAAGCGUCGGCGCCUACGAGCACGCAACCACGAUGC
rfam:Venezuelan equine encephalitis virus strain Tonate CaAn 410d, complete genome.